GCCGCGCUCCGGCUGACUCCUCCGCCGGCGGGCGGGGCGGGGCGGGGCGGGGCGGGGGGCUCCGGGCGCGCUGGGAACCGCGGGACCCAGACCGGGACGCCGACCGCCGCGGGGGACGCGCGGCCCCCGCCUCCGCCCGCGAACCUCCGCACAAAACCCCAAUUCAGAAAUAGGUUGCGAGCGGCAGGCCGGGAGGUUUGCCCCCCACCCCCCACCCCUCCCAGCCGCCGGGGACCCCGGUCGCCCCCGGGACGGCCGGCCGUGGGCGCGAUGAGCCAGGUGCCGGGGAAGCCGCAGCCCGAGGAGGAGGACGACGACGAGGAGGAGGACGAGCUGGUGGGGCUAGCGGACUACGGGGACGGGCCCGACUCCUCGGACGCCGAGCCGGACAGCGGGGCGGAGGAGGGAGUUCUGGACUUUAGCGACCCCUUCAGCACGGAGGUGAAGCCCAGGAUCCUGCUCAUGGGGCUGAGGAGGAGCGGCAAGUCAUCCAUCCAGAAAGUCGUCUUUCAUAAAAUGUCUCCCAACGAAACCCUGUUCCUGGAGAGCACCAACAAGAUCUGUCGGGAAGACGUGUCCAACAGCUCCUUUGUUAACUUUCAGAUUUGGGACUUCCCGGGACAGAUUGACUUUUUUGACCCUACCUUUGACUAUGAGAUGAUCUUCCGGGGGACAGGAGCCCUGAUAUUUGUCAUAGACUCCCAGGACGAUUACGUGGAGGCCCUGGCCAGGCUGCACCUCACAGUGACCAGGGCCUACAAAGUGAACACUGACAUCAACUUCGAGGUGUUCAUUCACAAAGUGGACGGUCUGUCAGAUGACCACAAAAUUGAAACCCAGCGAGAUAUUCACCAGAGGGCGAAUGAUGACCUGGCAGAUGCUGGAUUAGAAAAAAUUCACCUCAGCUUUUAUCUGACAAGCAUAUAUGAUCAUUCAAUAUUUGAAGCUUUUAGCAAAGUGGUUCAGAAGCUAAUUCCACAACUCCCCACGCUGGAGAAUUUGCUAAACAUCUUUAUCUCAAAUUCUGGAAUUGAGAAGGCAUUUCUCUUUGAUGUGGUCAGUAAGAUUUAUAUUGCAACUGAUAGUACCCCUGUGGAUAUGCAAACUUACGAGCUCUGCUGUGACAUGAUCGAUGUGGUUAUCGACAUUUCUUGUAUUUAUGGUCUCAAAGAAGAUGGAGCAGGAACCCCCUAUGACAAGGAGUCCACAGCCAUUAUAAAGCUGAAUAAUACAACAGUUCUUUAUCUAAAAGAGGUGACCAAGUUCCUGGCUCUUGUGUGCUUUGUCAGAGAGGAAAGCUUUGAAAGAAAAGGGCUCAUUGACUAUAAUUUUCAUUGCUUCCGGAAGGCCAUCCAUGAAGUUUUUGAGGUGAGAAUGAAAGUGGUGAAAUCGCGGAAGGUUCAGAAUCGGCUGCAGAAGAAAAAAGGAACCACCCCCAAUGGGACGCCUAGGGUGCUGCUGUAGGUGAGGUUUCAGGAACGUCUUUUGAAAUCAGACCUUUCAAAGAGGCUGCUGCGCUGUGUUGCACUAAAGGAAGAGGAAUAAGGCGAUUGGGACACGACAUAUAUUUGUUGUAAAAAAAAGAAAACAAAAUUCCUGCCACCCUCUUGAUCUUCUCUUUUUGAAAUAAAAUGACAUUGGUCCUAUCCAGCAUCAAGAACCCGUGAGUUUUGGGGACUUCCCUGGUGGCACGGUGGUUAAGAAUCCGCCUGCUAAUGCAGGGGACGUGGGUUUGAGCCCUGCUCCGGGAAGAUCCCACGUGCCUCAGAGCAGCUAAGCCCGUGAGCCACAACUACUGAGCCUGCGCUCUAGAGCCUGCAAGCCACAACUAUUGAGCCCACGUGCCACAACUACUGAAGCCUGAACGCCUAAAGCCCGUGCUCUGCAACAAGAAAAGUUACCUCAGUGAGAAGCCCGUGCACCUCAAUGAAGAGUAGUCCCUGCUCGCCGCAACUGGAGAAAGCCCAUACAGCAACGAAGACCCAACAC